AUGCAGUCGACGGUAGCACAGAGGAGCUUGCUCCUUGGGUGACGAGUGGCGGACGGGUGAGUAAUGUCUGGGAAACUGCCCGAUGGAGGGGGAUAACUACUGGAAACGGUAGCUAAUACCGCAUAACGUCGCAAGACCAAAGAGGGGGACCUUCGGGCCUCUUGCCAUCGGAUGUGCCCAGAUGGGAUUAGCUAGUAGGUGGGGUAACGGCUCACCUAGGCGACGAUCCCUAGCUGGUCUGAGAGGAUGACCAGCCACACUGGAACUGAGACACGGUCCAGACUCCUACGGGAGGCAGCAGUGGGGAAUAUUGCACAAUGGGCGCAAGCCUGAUGCAGCCAUGCCGCGUGUAUGAAGAAGGCCUUCGGGUUGUAAAGUACUUUCAGCGAGGAGGAAGGCGUUGUGGUUAAUAACCGCAGCGAUUGACGUUACUCGCAGAAGAAGCACCGGCUAACUCCGUGCCAGCAGCCGCGGUAAUACGGAGGGUGCAAGCGUUAAUCGGAAUUACUGGGCGUAAAGCGCACGCAGGCGGUCUGUCAAGUCGGAUGUGAAAUCCCCGGGCUCAACCUGGGAACUGCAUCCGAAACUGGCAGGCUAGAGUCUUGUAGAGGGGGGUAGAAUUCCAGGUGUAGCGGUGAAAUGCGUAGAGAUCUGGAGGAAUACCGGUGGCGAAGGCGGCCCCCUGGACAAAGACUGACGCUCAGGUGCGACU
rnacentral:rRNA from 1 species